UACGUAGGGUCCGAGCGUUGUCCGGAAUUACUGGGCGUAAAGAGCUCGUAGGUGGUUUGUCGCGUUGUUCGUGAAAACUCACAGCUCAACUGUGGGCGUGCGGGCGAUACGGGCAGACUAGAGUACUGCAGGGGAGACUGGAAUUCCUGGUGUAGCGGUGGAAUGCGCAGAUAUCAGGAGGAACACCGGUGGCGAAGGCAGGUCUCUGGGCCACUACUGACGCUGAGAAGCGAAAGCAUGGGGAGCGAACAGG
rnacentral:rRNA from 1 species